UACAGAGGGGGCAAGCGUUGUUCGGAAUUACUGGGCGUAAAGGGCGCGUAGGCGCCUUCUAAGUCGAACGUGAAAUCCCCGGGCUCAACCCGGGAACUGCGUCCGAUACUGGAAGGCUUGAAUCCGGGGGAGGGAUGCGGAAUUCCAGGUGUAGCGGUGAAAUGCGUAGAUAUCUGGAGGAACACCGGUGGCGAAGGCGGCAUCCUGGACCGGUAUUGACGCUGAGGCGCGAAAGCCAGGGGAGCAAAGCGGG
rnacentral:rRNA from 1 species